rnacentral:lncRNA from 1 species
GGCAUACUCGACAGGAAGUCUAUCUCAGCAGAAAUUUAUGCAGUUGCACUGCUACUGAACUCCACUAUCAGGAAAGAAAAACAACAACAGGGGGGGUGCAUACCCUGGGAUUUGAUCCCAAGACCUCGCGGGAACAUCCCACACACCAACCACUAUGCUACGCUGCAAUGACUAACGGAGGAAUGAACUAGCACAACGUAACAUGCCUCGAACCUACUCGCUGGCCUGCACCUGCGAUCCGGUGACAGGGAGGUCACCGGAGAUGGUAUUCCCUACCACGCCUCUAC